UCGCUGUGAUGACAUUAUUUCCUGCCAUUCGUAGUUUCCACCAGAGGUCGAAAGACCAAAGAUGGCCCAAUCCUUCCUUGGAUGUCUGAGCGA
rnacentral:snoRNA from 1 species